rnacentral:lncRNA from 1 species
UUUUUUUUUUUUUUUUAAUGGUGGAAGAAAACCCUGUUAAUUUAUUGAAUAGCUUUUUUUUUUUUUUUACAUUUUAUUAGGUAUUUUCUUCAUUUACAUUACCAAUGCUAUCCCAAAAGUCCCCCAUUCCCCCCCCGACCCCUCCCACUUCUUUGUUUCUUUCUGACCCUUAUAAGUCUUUUUCAUGACUUUUUUCUGAUCAUCUGUUAGUUUCAGUCUUCUUCCUAUGUUCUGCUUUCUCUGUUGUGUGUAUAUUUCUUCAAACCCCAGCCACAAUCAGUACACUUAGUUACAUUGUGUUGUUGCCUUUCUGCUCCAUAUUCUUAGCAGGCUUCAAGCCAGGUUUAAUUGGACUGUCCACCUUCCUUGUGUUUAUGCAUGCUUACCACACUGUGCUCCUCACUGCUAUGGCUGCCUUUUACACCAUGUGGCCGCAUCAAAUUGUCAUUAUUUCUUAGUUCCCUGUCCCAUCACUGCUAGGAGUAAUGUAUACCAUUUUCUAAACCAACUAGAUUCAUUGUGGUUAGUGGUGGAUAACGUAGUGAAUGGAUAUGUAGAACAAGUUCAUGUCAGUGGGUAUUUAAGAUCUUUGAUGAUGUUUGUUUCAUUUUAAAAAUUUAUACUAUCAAUUUAUAAGGGACUUAAAUACCAUAAGUAAAUGCAUAUCAAGUAUUGAAACAAGCUUAGAUAAGUUUUGGUUUUGUAAAAUAUUAGGCUGGGGUAAGUGCAGUAAUAGGAAUAUAUUUGUUUUCUGCGGUUUCUGUAGUAAUGACAUAAGGAAGUAAGAACUUACUAUUUCACUUUUUCCUAGGCCACAGUAUUAACUAAAACUCACAUGGUUAAAAGCAAAGGAUCAGCAGUACUGAACUUUCUGUGGGGAGGGGGUGAGACAUUUUCUUAUUCUUUUUUAGCCACCAGAGGCUCUCUGCUAACCUGUAGCACAGGUGUGCCCAGAGGCUCUUGUUCCAAAUGAAGCUAAAUUCUUUCAAGUUAAUAGUAACAGUAACCACUACAGAUUUUACCAGUGCUGUAUAUUCUUUCUGUAAUGGACAGAGCCAUUCACUGAAAUUUGUUGAAAAUGAUCAGGAGUAGAAAAUUGAAUAACCAAAGUAAUUGAUUCACUAAAGGUGUGUUAUUGUACUUCUAGUUAUCUAACAGGUAAUCAUUUUUAUAUCCUCUACUUACCACAGCAUGUUCAAUUAAACAAAUGGUAGAAAUAAAAAGUAUGAAAUGAAAACUUUCCAAAUGUUUCCCAUUUCAUUUUACUAUGGCAUAUAAUAUGAUUUCAAAGAACUUGGUUCUCUUUUUAUAAUUAGGAGAUGCUGUGAACAUCUGUCAAAGAAAUAGAUCCAGUGAGCCACUGGAUCUCUUCAACUUCACUGAGUACUAAAGCAGGGAUGCUUUUCGGGAAUUCUAUGUUUUUAGAUCUGUUCUAUAUACACGUCCUUCUCUUUUUUUUGGAGAAAAAUAUUCUGGAGGUAACCUUUCUUUUUGUGGUCUGAGACUGUUUAUUUUGCUUGGGAGUAACUGUUAGAACUGGAAUCAUGUUUUUGAUCUUCUGAUUCUAACCUAAGUGGCUGUUAAUGCCCACUAUCUUCCAUUAAACAACUGGCUUGGUGAGCCGGCCUCUGCAUUGUUGUGUUGUUUUGUUUCUGACGAGAGCUCCUUGUUAGGUGGAACAUUUGCAAAAACUGUGGACCAUGGAUUAUCAAGAUGAGGACUGUAGAGAGAGUCAAGUAUGAGUUGAGACCUGUUGUCUUUGUAAGACAUUUCAGCAGCUCUAGUGCUGUUGGUCCUGCUCCAGCUUACGUACUUUUGACUUCUGCCAUUUGGGGUAGGAAUAAUACUGAGGAAGCAUAAGAAGUAAGAAGACAUUGACUGCACAGAGAUCUAUACAUACAAAUUCGCUGCAAUAUAUAUUUGGUAAAAGCAUAAUGUAGAAACCAUGAGAGAUGUUCUAUGAAUAGGAAAAAAAUAUACAUCAUUAAGUAAAUCUGUAUGGCAUUUUCAGCAGUAAUAUAUUAAAAGUCAAAGUUUGAACUAGUACACUCAUUAAAAGUGAGCAUUAUUGACAUUUAUUAUUCACUGGUUCUUCUGAGUUGCCUUUCUAGCAGUUGGAUGAGAAUAAUAGUCCUUUUGGAUUGAACUUACUGUUCUUGAUUUUCUUAAAUUAUUUAAAAAAAUGAAGGCCUACAUAUAUUAAGAUGAAAAAUUAACAGCAAGUCAUAGCUGGCAGGGCUUUUGACUGUCCCAGUAGUAUACACGGGUAAUGGUUCAUUUACUCGGUCUGAGUAAUUUACUGAAUCUCUUAACUAUUGAGAACAUUAAUACUGCAGCCUACCAGGUGUGAGUCAGAGGUAACCUUUCUUUAACCAUUUGUUCCAAACUCUUAAUGAUUUGCCAUAAUCAUUUCAUAAAAGAUAUUAUAACGCUCUACUGAGAGCAAACAACUUGACCUUAUUUUAAGCAUUAGACAUAUUCAUCCAAAGUUAAAGAAAGGAACAUUUUGUGCAUUAAAAACAUUUCAGUUUUGAGUUUUAUUACAAGUGCUGCAGUAGUAGGAAAAGUUUUCACCAAGUAACUACUAAAAUAAAUCUUAAUAAUACACUUCGGGGAUUUUAAUGGUUUGAAAUAUGUGGGCAUCUUAAUUCUCCAAUACUCUUUACAUGAAAGUAUUUCAUUCAGUAGGAGUCUGUUCUACCUAGAAAAAUGCCCAAAUAUGUUGUAUUUUAGUUAGGGUUUUACUGCUGUGAACAAACACCAUGACCAAGGCAAGUCUUAUAAAAAAACAACAUUUAAUUGGGGCUGGCUUACAGGUUCAGAGGUUCAGUCCAUUAUCAUCAAGGUGGGAGCAUGGCAGUAUCCAGGCAGGUAUGGCACAGGAGGAGCUGAGAGUUCUAUGUCUUCAUCCAAAGGCUGCUAGUGGAAGACUAACUUCCAGGUAAAUAGGGUGAGGAUCUUAUGCCCACACCCACAGUUACAUAUCCAUCCCAGCCAGGUCACACCUAUUCCAACAAAGCCACACCUCCAGAUGGUGCCACUCCCAGGUCCAAGGAUAUACAAACCAUCACAUAUGUCAAAAUGAAAGUUAAUUAUUAGUGAAUCCUUACUUCCUAGCCAAUUUCAAAUAAGUUGAGGUAUUUUGAUUGAUUGAUGCAUUAUUCCAAGAGUAAUUUUCUAGCUAUGCAUCAAAUAUGGAUUAAAACAUUUCUCCUUUUUAAUACCAUGUGCUUCUCUCUUUACAUCUUUAUAUAAAAUAAUGAAGAGUUAAAUUUAGUGUCAGAGAAUUGUAUGCGUGGUUUCUAGAGAGAACAGUGGAAACAAUCAUAGUUACUGAAUAAUUUAAGGUUUCAAAAAACCUUUUUCUAAGAAGUUAGAAAAAAAAGGUAAGAAGUGUAUUUUUUAUAAAGGGUAUAUCGUAAAUUCUGACAGUAGGAUCUGUCAAGCUAGUUUAGAUCUUUGGUAAAACUUGUGGAGUUUGUGAACCAGAUGUGAUCAGCAUGUGUGAGAAAAGGAGUGGACACUAGUUCCCAUUGCAAGCUACUUUAACUCUCCCCCGUGACAUUUUCUGAAUAGGAGAUUGCCAGAUUAGGAAUUCCAGAGGCUAUGUGAAGUGUUUCCUGGGUUCCUCUUUUAACACAUACUGCCAGUGUGAUUUUUGGCAGUAAG